rnacentral:rRNA from 1 species
UACGGAGGGUGCAAGCGUUAUCCGGAUUCUCUGGGUUUAAAGGGUGCGUAGGUGGGCAGUUAAGUCAGUGGUGAAAUCUCCGGGCUCAACCCGGAAACUGCCAUUGAUACUAUCUGUCUUGAAUAUCGUGGAGGUAAGCGGAAUAUGUCAUGUAGCGGUGAAAUGCUUAGAUAUGACAUAGAACACCAAUUGCGAAGGCAGCUUACUACCCGAAUAUUGACACUGAGGCACGAAAGCGUGGGGAUCAAACAGG